GACGAACGCUGGCGGCGUGCCUAAUACAUGCAAGUCGAGCGCAGGAAACUGACGGAACUCUUCGGAGGGAAGGCAGUGGAAUGAGCGGCGGACGGGUGAGUAACACGUAAGGAACCUGCCUCAAGGAUUGGGAUAACUCCGAGAAAUCGGAGCUAAUACCGGAUAGUUCAACGGACCGCAUGGUCCGCUGAUGAAAGGCGCUCCGGCGUCACCUUGAGCUGGCCUUGCGGUGCAUUAGCUAGUUGGUGGGGUAACGGCUCACCUAGGCGACGAUGCAUAGCCGACCUGAGAGGGUGAUCGGCCACACUGGGACUGAGACACGGCCCAGACUCCUACGGGAGGCAGCAGUAGGGAAUCUUCCACAAUGGACGAAAGUCUGAUGGAGCAACGCCGCGUGAGUGAUGAAGGUUUUCGGAUCGUAAAACUCUGUUGUAAGGGAAGAACACGUACGAGAGGAAAUGCUCGUACCUUGACGGUACCUUACGAGAAAGCCACGGCUAACUACGUGCCAGCAGCCGCCGUAACAC
rnacentral:rRNA from 1 species